rnacentral:rRNA from 1 species
AUUGAACGCUGGCGGCAGGCCUAACACAUGCAAGUCGAACGAGUGGCGGACGGGUGAGUAAUGUCUGGGAAACUGCCUGAUGGAGGGGGAUAACUACUGGAAACGGUAGCUAAUACCGCAUACCAUCGGAUGUUCCCAGAUGGGAUUAGCUAGUAGUUGGGGUAAAGGCUCACCUAGGCGACGAUCCCUAGCUGGUCUUAGAGGCUAACCAGUCACAAUGGAACUGAGACACGGUCCAGCGUCCUACGGGAGGCAGCAGUGGGGAAUAUUGCAUAAGGGGCGCAAGCCUGAUGAAGCCAUGCCGCGUGUAUGAAGCAGGUCUUCGGGUUGUACAGUACUUUCAGCGGGGAGGCGUUACCCGCAGAAGAAGCACCGGCUAACUCCGUGCCAGCAGCCGCGGUAAUUC